rnacentral:lncRNA from 1 species
UUGGGCGUGUUCGGGCAUUGGCUUCUAGGUCAUCCAUUAGUAUUAGGCAUGUUUUUCGAGAAGCUACAUCUGCUGCUGACUUUAUGGCCAAUUGGGCUUGUACCCAUCAGACUUGUCAGCGAUUUUUCAAUCCUAGUGAUCUUCCAACCGGUUUAUCAGGCAUUAUUCAUUUGGAUACUCAUGGAAUUCCAUACAUUCGACAUUAA